GAAUAAAACGUAUGACAAACCUAGACCGCAUAUUAAAAAGCAGCGACAUUACUUUGUAACACAGCAUCAGACUUUACUUCCAUCACCAGUCACAUCCACAACUGGUCAUUGUUUCUGAUUUGGCUAAGCCUCAUCAUUCCUUCAGAAGCUAUUUCUCCGCUGUUCUCCAGUAGCAUAUUGGGCACCUACUGACCUGGGAAAUUCAUCUCUCAGUGUCCUAUCUUUUGGCCUUUUCAUACUAUUCAUGGAGUUCUCAAGACAAGAAUACUGAAGUGGUUUGCCAUUCCUUUCUCCAGAGGACUACAUUUUGUCAGAACUCUCCACCAUGACCCGUCCAUCUCGGGUGGCCUUACAUGACAUGACUUAUCGUUUCAUUGAGUUAAACAAGGCUGUGAUCCAUGUGAUCAGUUUUGUUAGUUUUCUGUGAUUGUGCUUUUCAUUCUUUCUGCCCUCUGAUAGAGGAGGGUAAGAGGCUUGUGGAAGCUUCCUGGGGACCUAGGGAUGUAUUAAGUUGGUGCAAAAGUAAUCACAGUUUUGCAUGUUAAAACUUUGCUGUUUGAUACUGGAGUACAUUCUUAAAGGUGGUUAUGUUAUACAUCAUUUUAAUGUGAAUUUCUUGCUUUUAUAAUUUUUGCUAAUGACUUGCUACUUACUGUAUAUUUUAUAUUUAUUUAAAACUUGGAAAAUGAUAUUAAAAAGUAAAUUUGAGCAAUUUUCUUAUUCAAAUUCAAAAUGGGUUGUGAAGCAGCAAAGACAACUUGCAACAUGAACACAUUUGGCUCAGGAAUUGCUAGCGAAUAUUCAGUGCAGUGGUGGUUCAAGAAGUUUUCCAAAGGAGAUGAGAGCCUUGAUGAGGAAUGUAGUGGCCUGACAUCAGAAGUUGACAGUGACCGACUGAGAGGAUCAUUGACGCUGAUCCUCUGACAACUACACAAGAAGUCGCUGUAGAACUCGGCUUUCUACGGUUGUUGGACGUUCGAAGUAAAUUGGAAAGGUGAAGAAGCUCCAUAAGUGGGUGCCUCAUGAGCUGACCGAAAAUUUAAAAAUCGUCGUUUUGAAAAACUGUCAUCUUCUCUUAUUCUGUGCAACAACAAUGAACCAUUUCUCGAUUGGACUGUGACAUGUGAUGAAAAGUAGAUUUUAUACAACUGACGAUGACCAGCUCAAUGGUUGGACCAAGAGGAGGCUCCAAAGCACUUCCUAAAGCCAAACUUGACCAAGAGGAGGCUCCAAAGCACUUCCCAAAGCCAAACUUGCACCAAUAAAGGGUCAUGGUCACUGUUUGGUGCUCUGCUGCCCCUCUGAUCCACUGCAGCUUUGUGAAUCCCCGUGAAACCAUUACACCUGAGAAGAAUGCGCAACAAAUGGAUGAGAUGCACGGAAAACUGCAGCACUGGCAUCGGUCAAGAGAAAGGGCCCAAUUCUCGCGACAGCGCCCAACCACAUGUACAACCACCCAAAGUUGAACGAAUUGGGCUACGAAGUUCUGCCUCAUCUGCCAUACUCACCUGACUCUUGCCAACCAACUACCGCUUCUUGAAGCAUCUUGACAACUUUUUGCAGGGAAAAUGCUUCCACAACCAGAGGGGGCAGGAAAUGCUUUCCAAGAGUUUGUCAAAUCCCAAAGCAUGGAUUUUUAUGCUAGAAGAAUAAGCAAACUUAUUUCUCAUUGGGAAAGAUGCGUUGAUUGUAAUGGUCCCUAUUUUGAUUAAUAAAGAUGUUUGAGCUUAGUUAUGAUUUAAAAUUCAUGCCUGAAACUGAAAUUAUGUUUGCACCAACCUAAUAAAAUAUUCUGUGCACCAAUCAG